rnacentral:tRNA from 1 species
CGGAUGUAGCCAAGUGGCUCAAGGCAGUGGAUUGUGAAUCCACCAUGCGCGACUGGCC